rfam:Salmo salar isolate Sally breed double haploid chromosome ssa24, whole genome shotgun sequence.
AAUGCACCAAUUUGUAAGUCGCUCUGGAUAAGAGUGUCUGAUAAAUGACGUAAA